UAAGAUUUUAAGUUAAAUAAACUUUUAAUUUUCAAAAUUAAAUAUAAAGAUUUUCUUUAAGUCUUA
rnacentral:tRNA from 1 species